GAUGAACGCUAGCGGCAGGCUUAACACAUGCAAGUCGAGGGGUAUUGGUUUUCGGACCAAGAGACCGGCGCACGGGUGCGUAACGCGUAUGCAAUCUACCUUUUGCAGAGGGAUAGCCCCAGAGAAAUUUGGAUUAAUACCUCAUAGUAUAGUACUUUGGCAUCAAGGAACUAUUAAAGUCACAACGGCAAAAGAUGAGCAUGCGUCCCAUUAGCUAGUUGGUAAGGUAACGGCUUACCAAGGCUACGAUGGGUAGGGGUUCUGAGAGGGAGAUCCCCCACACUGGUACUGAGACACGGACCAGACUCCUACGGGAGGCAGCAGUGAGGAAUAUUGGACAAUGGGCGGCAAGACCUGAUCCAGCCAUGCCGCGUGCAAGGAUGACGGUCCU
rnacentral:rRNA from 1 species